GGGAUUACAGGCGUGAGCCACCGCGCCCAGCCCACAAAAUAAGUUUGCCUUUAAUCUAUUUUCUCCAUAUCUAAAUAUGAGAGUUUAAGAGUGUGGACAGAAUUGAAGACAUGGAGUUUUUUUUUUUUACUUCUGUGAUGCCAUCAUCCUUUGUUCACUGCCUGAUCUCUAAAAGAAAGGUGGGCAACAGGUGGUAAGCAGUGGUUUACCUGUGGUAUUUUAUUCCUGCCACCCUCAGCUAUUUCUAUGGCCACUGUCUGUUCCACCCUCGAAACUGAAGAGAGAUAUUGGUAGGGGGAGGUUCUUCCUUCACCUCUGGCCCUUCCACACAUCAGAGCUGCCAUGUGUGGAUCCUGGGUGCCAGGAAUGAGCCUGGUCUGAACUGCAAUGUUCUAGAAAGGUAAAAUAUAGAGUUACUUUCAAAA